AUUGAACGCUGGCGGCAUGCCUUACACAUGCAAGUCGAACGGCAGCGCGGGAGCAAUCCUGGCGGCGAGUGGCGAACGGGUGAGUAAUACAUCGGAACGUGCCCAAUCGUGGGGGAUAACGCAGCGAAAGCUGUGCUAAUACCGCAUACGAUCUACGGAUGAAAGCAGGGGAUCGCAAGACCUUGCGCGAAUGGAGCGGCCGAUGGCAGAUUAGGUAGUUGGUGAGGUAAAGGCUCACCAAGCCUUCGAUCUGUAGCUGGUCUGAGAGGACGACCAGCCACACUGGGACUGAGACACGGCCCAGACUCCUACGGGAGGCAGCAGUGGGGAAUUUUGGACAAUGGGCGAAAGCCUGAUCCAGCCACGCCGCGUGCAGGAUGAAGGCCUUCGGGUUGUAAACUGCUUUUGUACGGAACGAAACGGUCUUUUCUAAUAAAGAAGGCUAAUGACGGUACCGUAAGAAUAAGCACCGGCUAACUACGUG
rnacentral:rRNA from 1 species